AACAUGACUCUCGGCAACGGAUAUCUCGGCUCUCGCAUCGAUGAAGAACGUAGCAAAAUGCGAUACCUGGUGUGAAUUGCAGAAUCCCGUGAACCAUCGAGUUUUUGAACGCAAGUUGCGCCCGAGACCUUCUGGUUGAGGGCACGUCUGCCUGGGCGUCACGC
rnacentral:rRNA from 4 species